rnacentral:rRNA from 31 species
GCGACCCCAGGUCAGGCGGGAUUACCCGCUGA